UACUUAAAUACGAGUCUUUAACUUUUAAAGUAAUUUUUUUAAAAAAGGCGAAAAGAAAUUAACUGGUUUUUUUAACAUGGCUAUAGAGUAUUUAAGUCAAAACCCGAAUGGAGGUGAACUAUUCCUGCAAAGAUUGAAGUCAGGGGAAACUCUGAUGGAAGAUCGUUGGCGUUAUUGAUGUGCAAAUCAUUUGCUUUAUGUAGGUAUAGGUGCGAAAGACUCAUCGAACCUCCUAAUAGCUGGUUUCCUCCGAAGUUUCCCUCAGGAUAGCUGUAACAUUUUUAAAUAGUUAAGGAUAGUAGAGAAAUGGGUAGAGGUGUAGUGGAACUACGGUUCUGCAACUUAUUUCCAAACUUCGAACGUUCUUGAUAUAAAAAAUUACCUAAUAGGAAUUUUUUAUUUAAAUAUAUGUUAUAAGUGGGCUCUGACCGGUAAGCGGUCAUGGCGAAAAGGGAUGAACCUAACGUAUAAAUAAGGUGCCUAAAUUUACUAACAAUGAAACCAUUAAAAGAGUCCAUGUAUUUAGACAGCGGGUCGGUGCCCCUAAAAGCAGGUAUCCGUUAAUGAGUGUGUUAAAACUCCCCCGCCGAAUACUCUGGCCUUGAAAAUGAAUGGCGCAUAUAGUAAUACCGAUAUUAUACAUUAAAAUUAUUUAAAAAUUUUAAAAGUAGGGGGAUGUGGAUAUCUUAGAGAAUUUUUAAUUGUAAAAUUGAAUUGAAAGAUAUCUAUUACAGAUCCUAAUUGAAGUAGCGAUUAUCCAGGUUAAUCUCCUGGGGGCUGAUGAGGAGUAGGGUUUCUGGGCAACUUAAACGGACCCAGAGUUAGUCGAUCCUAAUCAAAUUAAAUUUAGAGAAAGGGAAUAUGAAUGAUAUUUCAUAACUAAAAUUAAUUUUUAAAUGGUGACAUUUUUUUAAACUUAUUUCCAUCAAUUAAAUACUGUUUAAUAGGGAUUUCUUUCCUAUAUAACUUUUUAAUUAAAACUUAAGAAACAGGUUAACUGGAGAAUAAAGUUUUAAUUUAGUAAAAUUAUAAUUUCGAUUAUAAUAACGGCUAUUUAAAUGAUCCAUGAAACAAUAAGUUUAUUUUUUCAAAAAUUAAUUUAAUCGUACCGAUAACCGCAUCAGGUCUCCAAGGUGAGUAGCUUCUGGCCAUUGAGUAAUGGUAAUUUAGGGAAUUCGGCCAAUUAGAGCUGUAACUUCGGGAUAAAGCUUGGCUCUGAUGGAAAUCAGAACCGAUAGUUACAAGGAGAGCCCAACUGUUUAAUAAAAACUUAGUGUCGCGUCAUACCUUUAUAAGUAAUAAACGUGACAUGAAUCCUGCUCAGUGCUGUGUUUGUUAAACUGGAUUAAUCCAUUUAAGCGCCGGUAAAUAGCUGGGGUAACUAUGACUCUUAUCAAAGUAGCGAAAUACCUCGUCACUUAAUUAGUGACCUGCAUGAACGGAGCUAUGAGGUUCUCACUGUCCCAAAUUAUCACUCAGCGAACCAACAGUUGUGGGAACGGGCACAAAUUAUCCAGCGGGGAAAGAAGACCCUGUAGAGCUUCACUUUGGUCUAAUCUUGUAUAGUUUCGUUAGGGGUGCAGUCUAGGUGGGAGAUUUUUAAUCAAAUAUGAGAACCCACUACCCUUUCUGGAAUUAUACUUACUAAAAUUCUUUUCUAAAUUUUAGGAUCGGAUUAGAUAGAAAGUUUGGCUGGGGCGGCACACCUUCGAAAAAGCAGCGAAGGUGUCCUAAGUUAAGCUAGUAAGGACAGAAAUCUUACGUUGAGGAUAAGGCCAAAAGCUUAAUUUACUGUGCCUUUUUGUACUAGGAUCAGUUUGGAAACAAAGGCCUAACGAUCCCUAAUUAGUCUUAGGUGUGUAAGACUUGGGGUGACAGACAAGUUACCUCCGGGACAACUGGCUUGUGGCUGCUAAGAGAUCAAAUCAACGCAGCUUUUUGAUUCUUCGAUGUCGGA
rnacentral:rRNA from 1 species